rnacentral:rRNA from 1 species
CCUUCGGGGUGUGGAGCUGGGGGACCAAGCGGCGGACGGGUGAUUACCACGGGGGCAACCGGCCGGUAGAACGGGAAUAACCCCGGGAAACCGGGGCUAAUACCGAAUAACACUUUUCUCUGCAGGGAAAAAAUUUGAAAGGCGGCCUUUUGGCUGUCACUUACAAAUGGGCCCCCGGCCCAUUACCUAUUUGGGGGGGUAACGGCCUACCAAGGCAACAAUCCUUACCCAACCUGAAAGGGUGAUCGGCCACCCGGGAACGGAAACCCGGCCCAAACCCCUACGGAAGGCACCAUUAGGGAAUCUUCCGCAUGGGACAAAAGUCGGACGAACCACCGCCCCGGGAACAAUGAAGGUCUUCGAAUCGUAAAGUUCUGUUGUUAGGAAAAAACAAUUACCGUUCAAAUAGGGCGGUACCUUGACGGUACCUAACAAGAAACCCCCGGCUAACUACUUGCCACCACCCCCGGUAAUACUUAGGGGGCAACCGUUGUCCGGAAUUAUGGGGCGUAAACCGCGCCCAGGCGGUUCCUUAAUUCUAAUGUGAAACCCCACGGCUUACCCGUGAAGGGUCAUUGAAAACUGGGAAACUUAAUUACAAAAAAGAAAACCGAAAUUCCACUUGUACCGUUGAAAUGCGUAAAUAUGUGAAGGAACACCAUUGGCAAAGGCGGUUCUCUGGUCUGUAACUGACGCUAAGGCCCAAAACCGUGGGGAAGCGAACAGGAUUAAAUACCCUGGUAGUCCACGCCGUAAACAAUGAGUGCUAGGUGUUUAGGGGGUUUCCCCCCCUUAGUGCUGAAGUUAACGCAUUAAGCCACUCCGCCUGGGGAAGUACGGCCGGCAAGGCUGAAAACUCAAAAGAAAUUGACGGGGGCCCGCCACAAGCGGUGGAACCAGGUGGUUUUAAUUCGAAGCAACCCCGAAAAACCUUAACAAGGUCUUGGACA